rnacentral:lncRNA from 1 species
GCCCUUUAUAGUAGUUGAUUUUACAUAAAGGUAUGAUUCCGUUUACUGUAUACGAAACAACGUUACUAUAAGUUAGAUAACAAUACAUUUUUAGUUGUCUAGAUGUUUGAUCUGACUGUUUGUAAUAUGUCUCCUGUACAUGUAUGUAUAGGAUUGUUCAUAUCUAAGUAGUCAGUCAAAAUAUCGUCACGUUGAAUGUGUGCAUUGUGUUCGUUACUUUCCCCUGCAUACAACCUCUGACUUGCUUCUGUGUUCAGUGAUUCAACGGUGUAGUCGGUGCCAGCGUUGUCUUCAUUUAGUGAUUUCUCUGAAACUCCACGAAAAGCAUCCCCUAUUGUUUGUCCAAAGAAUAAAUGUGCAUUAAGCUGUCCUUUUUCAUUAUCUAUUUCAU